rnacentral:lncRNA from 1 species
AAGGGGGGGGGAGGUUAUUGUCUUUGGAAUUGAGCUCCUCUCUGGAAGAGUUACCUAUAAAGCGAAGCAAGAUAAUCCAAAUAAGGUCAACAUUGAUCUUAAUAAGAUGCCAACUGAUUCACGUACGGGUGAAGACGUGUAUUAACCAUAAAUUUUCACAUAUAAAUAAGAGAAUGUGUAUUAAUAAGAGAUUGUGUAUUCAUAAGAGAUUGUGUACCUAUAAAGCUUCUUCAGGAAUGGAAUAAGC